rnacentral:tRNA from 2 species
GUCCCGUUAGCUCAGUUGGUAGAGCACUUGACUUUUAAUCAAGGGGUCACAGAUUCGAGUUCUGUACGGGACACCA